rnacentral:rRNA from 1 species
GAUGAACGCUGGCGGCGUGCCUAAUACAUGCAAGUCGAGCGAACAGAUGAGGAGCUUGCUCCUCUGACGUUAGCGGCGGACGGGUGAGUAACACGUGGAUAACCUACCUAUAAGACUGGGAUAACUUCGGGAAACCGGAGCUAAUACCGGAUAAUAUAUUGAACCGCAUGGUUCAAUAGUGAAAGACGGUUUUGCUGUCACUUAUAGAUGGAUCCGCGCCGCAUUAGCUAGUUGGUAAGGUAACGGCUUACCAAGGCAACGAUGCGUAGCCGACCUGAGAGGGUGAUCGGCCACACUGGAACUGGGCCACGGUCAAGACUCCUACGGGAGGCAGCAGUAGGGAAUCUUCCGCAAUGGGCGAAAGCCUGACGGAGCAACGCCGCGUGAGUGAUGAAGGUCUUCGGAUCGUAAAAAUCUGUUAUUAGGGAAGAACAAAUGUGUAAGUAACUAUGCACGUCUUGACGGUACCUAAUCAGAAAGCCACGGCUAACUACGUG